AAAAAUUUUUAUGUGCCAUAUAGUUAGAAAAUAUGUGAGAAUAUCAGAAAAGGAUUUCACAAUUUUCCUUUGGAAAGUAUUUAUCUUUUCCUAAAUGUAGGUGUCUUCUGCAGGCUCUUCUCUCAGAAGUGAGGCUUCCUCUUGCAAGUGCCUUCAUUGCUCUAAGAUCAAAGCUGGUCCUGGGCCCUGACACUAUGAUUCUUCUUACAUGAUAAAAAACAAAAGGGAGAAUGUAAGAGAAGCCUUUUAAGCCUUGGAGGAAGGCUGAAGGAAGAAGAAAAAGACCAUCACUGCAGCUCUUGAAGUGUGUUGAGUUUAAAGAUCUUAGUGAAGCAAAUGAAGAUUGUCACAGGAAAACAAGAGAAGAUCUGUAAAAAAAAGCUGGUGACACACAGAUUUGAAACUGAAUCAUCAGAAAAAGGGGCUUAGCUUGAUGCUGCUGAGACAAAUAAACUCCUGAGGCAGUUAACUUUUUGAAUUCAGUGGUGUGAAUGAGUCAGAUUUCUUAGGGAGAGGUAGCAUCUUUUGCUCAAACAGCACAUGAUAUUGCAAACUGGGGAUGGAACCACAAAGAGUAACUGAUGUGAGCAUGCUCUCAUGACUCAGGAGUACCACCAAGCACCCAGAGAUCAAGAAAAAUAUGUGUCUUUUAUCGUUCACUCAGAGAUGGCCACAAGAAAUGAGGUCCUGAGUGAGGCAGCAGAAAGUCUGCAAGGAAAGGGAAUAAGAAAACUUGCAGAGUGAGGUGAACAAGAAGUUCUUUUGAAUGGGAUCCUGGAUUGAAGUGAAUGGAAGUUUGCUGCAAUGUGAU
rnacentral:lncRNA from 1 species